UACGGAGGGUGCGAGCGUUAAUCGGAAUUACUGGGCGUAAAGCGUGCGCAGGCGGUUGUGCAAGACAGAUGUGAAAUCCCCGGGCUUAACCUGGGAACUGCAUUUGUGACUGCACGGCUAGAGUGCGGCAGAGGGGGAUGGAAUUGCUCGUGUAGCAGUGAAAUGCGUAGAUAUGCGGAGGAACACCGAUGGCGAAGGCAGUCUCCUGGGCCUGUACUGACGCUCAUGCACGAAAGCGUGGGGAGCAAACAGG
rnacentral:rRNA from 1 species